rnacentral:rRNA from 1 species
UACGUAGGUGGCAAGCGUUGUCCGGAAUUAUUGGGCGUAAAGCGCGCGCAGGCGGUUUCUUAAGUCUGAUGUGAAAGCCCUCGGCUCAACUGAGGAAUGGCAUUGGAAACUAGCUGGCUGGAGUACCGGAGAGGGAAGCGGAAUUCCUGGUGUAGCGGUGAAAUGCGUAGAUACCAGGAGGAACACCGGUGGCGAAGGCGGCUUCCUGGCCGAGUACUGACGCUGAGGCACGAAAGCGUGGGGAGCGAACGGG